GUCGAGCGGACUGAAGGGAGCUUGCUCCCGGACGUUAGCGGCGGACGGGUGAGUAACACGUAGGCAACCUGCCUUGUAGACUGGGAUAACUUCGGGAAACCGGAGCUAAUACCGGAUGUUAGAUGAAUCGCGCAUGCGUUUUAUCUUAAAGUUGGCCUCGGCUAACACUACAAGAUGGGCCUGCGGCGCAUUAGCUAGUUGGUAAGGUAGUGGCUUACCAAGGCGACGAUGCGUAGCCGACCUGAGAGGGUGAUCGGCCACACUGGGACUGAGACACGGCCCAGACUCCUACGGGAGGCAGCAGUAGGGAAUCUUCCGCAAUGGACGAAAGUCUGACGGAGCAACGCCGCGUGAGCGAUGAAGGCCUUCGGGUCGUAAAGCUCUGUUGUUAGGGAAGAACAAGUGCCAUUCAAAUAGGGUGGCACCUUGACGGUACCUAACGAGAAAGCCACGGCUAACUACGUGCCAGCAGCCGCGGUAAUACGUAGGUGGCAAGCGUUGUCCGGAAUUAUUGGGCGUAAAGCGCGCGCAGGCGGUAUCUUAAGUCUGAUGUGAAAGCCCACGGCUCAACCGUGGAGGGUCAUUGGAAACUGGGAUACUUGAGUACAGA
rnacentral:rRNA from 1 species